rnacentral:lncRNA from 1 species
GCACCUUUCUUACAUUCUAAGGUCAAAGCAAGUCUCCAGGCCAGUCUAGAUUCAAAUGGUUGAAGAAAGAGCUCCCACCUCUUUAUUAGAGUAGCAACAAUGUGACACUGCAAAAGGGGAUUAGGAAGAUAGAGAAGUGAGUCCUUGGGAACCAUUGUUAUAAUGAUAUAUCACAUGCUUCAUUAAGGGAAAUUGUAAAAAUUAAUAAUUUACAAGUUUCUAACAACCUGCAUUUAUUAACAUAGAACUAGAAGAUCCAGACUGUGUCAGUCAUCAAACAUACAUAUAUUGAGACUCUACUGUUUGUUGAUCCUAAGGAAUCAAAAUAUGUAACUCCUUAUCUGAAGCAAGAAAUAUUCUUUUUUUUUUUUUUUGUCUCUUCAAAUUCAAUCUUUUAGGAUCAGUAAAUGAGUGUUCUACGUAAAUAAACAAAACAACAGGUAUUUUUCGAGUGCCUUUUGUGCUUAGGAUUCUGCUAUUUAUCCCUGAGAUGCUUUGCUAAGAGAUAAAUGUGGCAGCUCCUAUAAGUUAUUGAUGCUCUCUGCAGAUGUUCCUACAGAUCUUACACUCUCAGCAUUAAAAUAUGCCCUCAGGGUGUUUGAUAGGGCAUCUGAGUCCUGUUUGGCUCCACCUGCCUUUCCUAUUACACACUUUACCAUAUGGCAAAGAUGCCAGAGUGAGCUCUCAUGUCUUAAAAUAAUUGGAGUAAGUGUCAGAAGGAGGUUAUGAAAUUGUCUGUCUAUACUUUAUGUGCUAAACAAAGUAUUGAGUAUUAGAUUUCAGAGACCUGAAUAAGACAUAAGACAUAGACUCAUACAGUGGGAAGGAAAAUACAAAUUAUCCAACCACCCCUCUCAUUUGAAAGAUAAGAAAUUGAGACUCAGAGACUAUCAAGUGAUAUGCUCACAUUAAAGUAUCUAUUUAGCAGUUGACUUGGAACUACAAUCUAGGAAGGCUGUCUGAUGUUUUUUCUGCUGGUGCCUGCCAUCUUAAGACCUUAAUACUUGAGAAAGAGAAAUGAUGAUAUCAAAAUUUUAUUGAGAAUUAACUUUGUGUCAAGCAAUGUCCCAAACUUGGAUUUUCUGUGACUCCUCACAACCACUGGAGAAGUGGGCAUUUUUAGAAUUCCUAUUUAGAGAGGAGGAGAUCUUAAGUAACUUUCCCAAACUUCCAAGACUAAAAAUUUCAGAGGCAGAUUAUCAUUCAGGCAUUCUUACUCUAGAGACUGUGCUUUUAGUCAUUGUGCUAGUCGAACUCUGUGAAUGAGAGUGACAAUGCUUAAAAGGCCAGAGGAGACUGGGAGCUUGCUGAGUUUACAGUGGAAAUCUUUAGGUCCUGAGUGAGGAACUAUGCUGGAGACAGAGGCCAGGCACCUCUUGGGGGAGGACACAGAGCCAGCCUCAUGGUAGUUUGAAUGAAUUCCAAUUUCUUGGUGAACUGACAAUUCAGUAGAAUAUACAUUAUGAAUUUUUCUCUUGCACUGAAGACAUUGCUGACAACAUGAAUGAAUUAAUCUAGACAUUCUAUGGCAUGGGCAAUAAAUCUUUUUUUUUCAUAUUCUACUUUAAAAAUGAUUAGAUUUGUGGUCCAUUCAUUCACUCAUUGUUUCAUUCAAGAAACUGAGCAUCAGUUUUGUGCAAAAAGACAUUGUAUUAGGCAUGGAGCCACUUCAGGGUUACCUUUGGAAGCUGUCUACCUUUUUGCUCUGAUUACAUCAUCAUAUUUGCCAUGGCUCAUGGUACUUUUAACUUUCGUUUUUGUGAGGUAACAACCAAAGUUUGCAAUUCUUAUUUAAGUUUCCAGCACAAAAAAGAUUAGAAAGUCAUCUGUCUCACAUGAUUUUUUUAAAAAAAUAAAUUUCAUUGGAGUAUAGUUGACUUACAAAGCUAUGUCAGUUUCAGGUGUACAACAAAGUAAAUCAGUUACACAUAUCCAUUCCUUUUCAGAUUCUUUUCCCAUACAGGUUAUUACACAGUGUCAAGUAGAUUAUCUUGUACUAUACAUUAGGUCCUUUUACCUAUACAUUUUAUAUAUAGUAGUGUGUAUAUGUCAAUCCCAACCUUCCAAUUUAUCCCCCACCAGGUUUCUCCUUUGGUAACUAUAAAUUUUGUUUCAAAAUCUUUGAGUCUGUUUCUGUUUUAUAAGUUAUUUUGUAUCAUUUUUAUUACAUUCUACAUGUUACUGGUCUCAUAAGACAUGGAAGCAACAUAAAUGUUCAUCAGCAGAGGACUGGAUAAAGAGAUGUGGUACAUACAUACAAUGGAAUAUUACUCGGCCAUAAAAAUAAUGAAAUACUGCUAUUUGUAGCAACACAGAUAGACCUAGAAGUAAUAAUACUAAGUGAAGUAAGUCAGACAGAGAAAGAAAAAUAUCAUAUGGUUUUUGAUUUCCCGUUUUUAAAACAAUUCCAGAAAGCAGGAACACAAAUCUGUCCUUAGUUAAUUUGAAUGAAAAGCUGUUGUACCAGUGAGUACCUGAUGUAGCAAUGAUAUGUAAUGGCUAAAACAUGAAGUAAGUUUGUUUCUGGCUUGUGUAAAAUCCCAACUGAGUAUUUCUGGUAAAUAGGCGAAUCUCUUCAAGUGUUAAUAUAGAUGCCCAUUUCUUCUCAAGGUGGUUGCACAUGUCCACAUCAAGCUGGCAGAAGAGGGAGGAGCAUGGCAGUUGUCACAUAUGUGGUGCUUUUAUGGGUAGACAUGGAAAAACCUAACUGUGAAGGAGCCUGGAAAAUGUAUAUCACUGUAUGCCUAGGAGAAAAAGGAAAUAGUUGAAAAGAGGGGAAGGACUGUGAAAGCCUUUGACUUAAUCCACUUCUCUCUUAAUACACUAACUUUUCUUUAAACCUGCCCGUUUUCUUGAAUAUCUGGUAAAUAUUUACACAUUUUAGUUUUUCAUUUCAGAAAAUUCAAGAAUUACAUUGUCAAAUUUCUUUUGAAAUCAUGUUCAAUGUUUUUACUUUAUAGAUGAGAAAUAUGAGGUCCAGAGAGAUUAAAUAACUUGCAUAAGGUCCCAUGGCUUGUAGGUGACAGGACUAAGACUAGAGCUCAGAGAUUUCUUGUUUUUUCUCCUUCAUAUAAAUUUGAAAUAAUAUCAAUAAUAUCUUCCCAAGCCCUUAUUAUGUUUUACAUUUUAGCCUCACACAGAACAGUUUUGUUUAAUUCCUUUUGCAGCGACCCCAAUAUGAAUAUUUUAAUUAAUUUUAUUUAUCAUUUAUUGUUUGUUUUACUUUUUUUUCUUCAUCGAAGAGGUUCUCACUAUAGCCUUUAGAUGGCACAAGUUAGCUAAUCCAAGGCUGUUUUGUAGCUACAAUAAUUAUAGAAGUUUGAAGAAAAGUUAAUGGAAAAUGAGAGCAUUGAAUAAUAAUUUAAACAAAGUAACAUGUGUUAUCCGCAAAGUCUGCCUGCAUGAAGAAUAAGUCUCUGAACUGGUCUUUAUGUACGAGAGGCUAAUGUUUAGAAAUUUUCUAGUUCUCUAAUUUUGCCAGUGUUGGGUGUCAUUUGGAAUAAAUGACUUUGGGGACAGAUUUGGGGAUAAGAAUUAUCAUGGGAGAAGGCUUUCUGAAUUGGAUUGAAUAUAAAUCUGAGAGGAAGGAAGCCUCACUUUCCCAUAAGUUCUCAAGCAUUCAGGACAAGUUUUCUGUCAGAAUUAUGCUAAUUAUUGCAGAUUCUUAUGGCAUUUGGUAAUUAUUUAUCCCACCAGGUUGUUCCGAAAACCUGUGUAAUGAUGUCUGGAAAUCUGGUAUUUUAUGUACCAUUGUAGGAUGGUGCUGCAGCAGAAUGCUUUGCACCUAUUAGGGAUAUAGCAAUUAUUUGCAGAAUUGAAUUUUCCCAUUUGAUUUUCUUUUCCUCAUUCUUAUCCUCGGAAGGGUUAUACAAUCCCUUCUUCAGAUGGCGAGGAAAAGUACUAUUUACCCAGUGCCUCUUAUGUUGACCCACACCCUUGCAGCCAGUGUGAGGGUAGGAUUCCUAGGAUGGAAAAUCUGCUUUCUAUUGAGAUCUAAUUCAACUCUGCAGACAAUAUUCAGCCAAAGGAAAAAACAUAAACACAAGAGGUAAUAUAAGACUAAAAUACUAUGAUAUGUGAAUAAUUAUUUCUUUUGCUCUGAACAUGAGCAAAUAACCAUUACAUAUAUAAGUAGAUAAAACUGUAUUGAAUUGAAGAAAGACAUGGUAAAAUGUUCCUCAAGUAUUCAGUGUGCUCUUUGGCUUCACUGUCUCUAAUUUUCAAAAGUCUAUGAUUUUAUAUUAUUUUAAGAAAUUUUAAAAUUUUUAUUAUAGUUGAUUUACAGUGUUGUGCCAAUUUCUGCUGUACAGCAAAGUGUAUAAAUACACACACAUUCCCUUUCUUAUAUUAUCUUCCAUCAUGGUCUAUCCCAAGAGGCUGGUUCCUGGGCUAUACAUUUUAAAUAUAAUAGUUUGCAUCCACUAACCUCCAACUCCAGAAAAUUCUGUGAUUUUAUAAAGAAUAUUGGAAUCAGUUGGAGUUUGAAUAUGCUAACUUCAUUUUUUUGGACAAUGUCAGUUUCCAGGUUUAUGUAAAUAACAAUGUGAAAUAGGCAAAGCUAAUCGUUGGUGUUUUUGGACUCAACGUGGUGAGUCACUUUUCAUUCUGUGUGAUAUCACUAACCUCAUUUCACUCCCAGUAGCUAAAGUCUUCUUAUUCUCUUUUCAUAAUUUUGACAAAAUCCACUCUCUCAACCUUCACAAUAAAGCAUAUAUGACUGAUACUGGCCUCAAUCGUUUCUGAUAUCCACUGGGUUUUCCAUUUUAACUAAUAUUAACCACCUUCUAAGCAAAAGAUGUGAAGUUAAAUAGAUGUACUAUUUGGGUAAAAAUGUACACAUGGUCAUUAUAAAAAUUCAAAUAGUAUAGAUAAGUAUAUCCCAAAUUCUGUUUCUCAAAGAUAACCACUAUAAACUUUUUGGUGAAAAUUUCUUCUCUAUCCAUGAUACAUGCAUACAUAUGAACAAAAAUGGGAAAGGAGGUGUGGUGAAACUGAAGCCCUCCACAGGUAGUCCAUUCCAACAGCCAUAUAAUUUGCUUUGCCUACUGGUAAGACAAUUUAGGUAAUGUGUUCAGUAGCUUAAAAUACAUUGUAUCCUGUUACCUCUGUGAUUUAAUGAUUUAUCUGUCUUUUAAAUAUUCUGAAGUGCAAAGAAUUAUUUCUGAUGCUUCUCAUACUGUAAAAUAAUUUAAAUUAUGACUAGAAAAUCCCUUCCUAUUUUGGUACAUCUUAUUGCACAGCUUUUGGUAGGAAAGAACAGACACCUGCAUUUUUUUGCUCUUAGUUCCUCAUUAGCAGAGAUUGUGAGUACGGUUCCAUUCAACUGUUUGAGGGAAAAGGGUUAGGAAAUGUUGGGUAUGAAUCAGUGAAAAAGUGACUAGAAGCAUUUGCAAUACUAGUCUAUUGGUUCAGUCACUAUUAUGUCUUCUAGCACAAAGUUUGAUAUCAUGAAACUAUAUUAUGGCUUUACCAUACCCAUAUUAAAUUUUAAAACUUUAUGUAAAUUUUUAUUUGAAAAUAUCUUCUAUAGAAGAUAAAAUUCCAUACACCUGGUCUUUUGAGUACUUUUCUCCUACUCCAAAUAUCUACAAAUCAUUUUUUUUUCUUUCAGGUCUAGAUUUUAUCUCUCUUGUCCUUAUUCUAAUCUGGACCCACACUUUUCUUCUUCCUUCCAUUCUGAAGACUGUAGCUCUAAUUAGACCCCUAGCCUGGGAACCUCCAUAUGCCGCGGGAAUGGCCCAAGAAAAGGCAAAAAGACCAAAAAAA